ACUCCUACGGGAGGCAGCAGUGGGGAAUUUUGGACAAUGGGCGCAAGCCUGAUCCAGCAAUGCCGCGUGAGUGAAGAAGGCCUUCGGGUUGUAAAGCUCUUUCAGCCGGGAAGAAAUAGCCGUGACUAAUAAUCAUAAUCAUGACGUAUCAACAGAAAAAGCACCGGCUAACUACGUGCCAGCAGCCGCGGUAAU
rnacentral:rRNA from 1 species